UCUUAUGGAUAUGCAAAAAAAAGCAGUUUCUUGAGAUGGAACCUACUUCUGGUGAAGAUGCUGUGAA
rnacentral:pre_miRNA from 1 species